GCCUAGCUCAGUUGGUAGAAUAUGAGACUCUUAAUCUCAGGAACAUGGGUUUGAACCCCUGCAUUGCAGCG